UCGUCAGUGAGGUAUAUCCUGACCUGUUCCGCCUCGCGCGGGCAGAGGGUGAUGAGUGCGCCGUGAUGACGUCAUGAUUACGUCACGCGGGGGCCGCGGUGGUUCCGGCAACAAAACCUCGCGGUCCUGAUAGCUCUGAC
rnacentral:snoRNA from 1 species